GUUUUAAAAUAUUCAAAACAUUUAAAUAACAGUCCACAAAAAGAAAUAUCUUAAAAUUUAAAGUACUAAAGAAGAAAACAAACAUUUAAAAAUAACCGCAAGGGAGAAACAAACUAAACAAARAAGCAUCACUCCUUCCUUUUGCAUAAYGAUCUCACAAGAAAACAAACUUAAUUCAAAGCAAACCCGAAACUACUAGAGCUAAUUAUUAGCAUGUCCAAGACACAACUCAUUAUUGUUGCAAAAAUAUGAGAAGACUAAUAAUUAGAAAGCGAAACACAAACCGAUAGUAGUGAUAUCUGGUUCUCUGAGAACAGACUAAAUCUCAAAAUGCACACAUUAACAAGCAUUGYACCGUCUCCUCAGAAUAUUCUGAGGAGACCACAAGGAAACAACCUGAAAACUUAGGACAACUAACUAGAUAAACAAAGUAGGCUUUGAAACAGCCAACUAAAAACGUAAAAGUUAAAACCUUGAAAAUAAACCCUAAAACACUUAUCAGAGCAAAUAAAAAACAAGAAACUGUAAGAACAAGUAAUUACACUACCACUUUAAUAAAAACACCUUGAAGAAAGCACAACACAAGACAAUCUAAACAAACAAAGGUACAACCAAUUUAGGUGGUAUUAAAAAUAUAUUAAUAGGAGGAAGGAACUCGGCUAAAUGGCUCCGACUGUUUACCAAAAACACCGCCUUUUGAACUUCCGAUAAAAGGUCACUCCUGCCCAGUGUUAUUAAGCUAAAACAAUAAUAAACGGCCGCGGUACCCUAACCGUGCAAAGGUAGCAUAAUCACUUGCCCCUUAAUUAGGGGAUAGAAUGAAAGGAAUAACGAGAGCCAAACUGUCUCCCCCCUACAAAAAUGAAACUUCUAAUUACGUGCCAAUGCGUAAAUAAAAAAGAAAGACAAGAAGACCCUGUCGAGCUUAAACAAACACAAGACUCAAACCCUUGACCUUUUGUUUUGGUUGGGGCAACCAAGGAGAAAAAAGAAACCUCCAAAAUAAUAAAAUAACCAUUUUAAGACAAGAAGACCCUUAAAUGAUUAAAGAACAAAGUUACCGCAGGGAUAACAGCAUUAUCCUCUAAAAGAGUCCUCAUCUAAUAGAGGGUUUGUGACCUCGAUGUUGGAUCAUUAAGUCUCCUCGGCGCAGAAGUUGAGAAAGAAGGUCUGUUCGACCUUUAAUAAAUUACGUGAUCUGAGUUCAGACCGGCGCAAGCCAGGUCGGCUUCUAUCUCCUAAAGAGAUUUUUUAGUACGAAAGGACCAAAAAUCAACGGACUAUUACAAUAUUACUCCGUAACAAUAAACACUUAGAACAAACACUACAC
rnacentral:rRNA from 1 species